rnacentral:rRNA from 1 species
GACGAACGCUGGCGGCGUGCUUAACACAUGCAAGUCGAGCGGUAAGGCCCUUUCGGGGGUACACGAGCGGCGAACGGGUGAGUAACACGUGGGUGACCUGCCCUCAGCUCUGGGAUAAGCCUGGGAAACCGGGUCUAAUACCGGAUAUGACUCCAUGACGCAUGUUGUGGGUGAAAGCCUUGUGCGGCUGAGGAUGGGCCCGCGGCCUAUCAGCUUGUUGGUGGGGUGANGGCCUACCAAGGCGACGACGGGUAGCCGGCCUGAGAGGGCGACCGGCACACUGGGACUGAGACACGGCCCAGACUCCUACGGGAGGCAGCAGUGGGGAAUCUUGCGC